GGUCCAGACUUUGAUUAUGGCUCACGUUGAACGCUAGCUACAGGCCUAACACAUGCAAGUCGAGGGGAAACGGCAGCUUAGCUUGCUACGCUGGACGUCGACCGGCGCACGGGUGAGUAACGCGUAUCCAACCUGCCCCACGGUGAGGGAUAACCCGCGGAAACGCGGCCUAAUACCUCAUGGUCUCCGAGCUUGACAUCAACCUUGGAGUAAAGAUUCAUUGCCGUGGGAUGGGGAUGCGUCUGAUUAGCUUGUUGGCGGGGCGACGGCCCACCAAGGCAACGAUCAGUAGGGGUUCUGAGAGGAAAGCCCCCCACAUUGGAACUGAGACACGGUCCAAACUCCUACGGGAGGCAGCAGUGAGGAAUAUUGGUCAAUGGGCGAGAGCCUGAACCAGCCAAGUAGCGUGCAGGAAGACGGCCCUAUGGGUUGUAAACUGCUUUUAUGCGGGGAUAAAGCGGGCGACGUGUCGCCCUUUGCAGGUACCGCAUGAAUAGGGACCGGCUAAUUCCGUGCCAGCAGCCGCGGUAAUACGGAAGGUCCGGGCGUUAUCCGGAUUUAUUGGGUUUAAAGGGAGCGCAGGCCGGGUAUUAAGCGUGUUGUGAAAUGUAGGCGCCCAACGUCUGCACCGCAGCGCGAACUGGUGCCCUUGAGUACGCACGACGUUGGCGGAAGUCGCCGUGUAGCGGUGAAAUGCUUAGAUAUGGCGAAGAACUCCGAUUGUGAAGGCAGCUGACGGGAGCGCUACUGACGCUCAUGCUCGAAAGCGCGGGUAUCGAACAGGAUUAGAUACCCUGGUAGUCCGCGCGGUAAACGAUGGAUGCCCGCUAUUUGCGCAUUAGCGCAAGUGGCCAAGUGAAAACGUUAAGGAUCCCACCUGGGGAGUACGCCGGCAACGGUGCCUUUAAA
rnacentral:rRNA from 1 species